UACGGAGGGUGCAAGCGUUAUCCGGAUUCACUGGGUUUAAAGGGUGCGUAGGUGGGCAGGUAAGUCAGUGGUGAAAUCUCCGGGCUUAACCCGGAACUGCCGUUGAUACUAUUUGUCUUGAAUAUUGUGGAGGUAAGCGGAAUAUGUCAUGUAGCGGUGAAAUGCUUAGAUAUGACAUAGAACACCAAUUGCGAAGGCAGCUUACUACACAACGAUUGACGCUGAGGCACGAAAUGCGUGGGGAUCAAACAGG
rnacentral:rRNA from 1 species